CCCAGAGGGCUGUGGGGCUGGGGCGCAGGGCGGGCCGAGAGGUGGCCAGGGUCGCUGGGGGUUCGUCCAGGGCAGCUCAAGGUCAAAGGUCACAGGGGGAGACUGGACACUCGUCAUAUAACCAUCAUACCGUCACUCAUACGCAGUCCCAGGGGGCUAGAGGAGACUUCAACCACAUACGCUCUCCUAGAGGUUUUGAGCGGCGGGUCCCUAAACACACCGCCCAUACGGAGGGAGCAGAGGGGGACGGCGGCUCUCAACAUCCCCCCCGGUCAGGAAACAUCCCUUCCCUGGUUCCCAGGCCUCCCUCCACUCCUCUGGUCAAACAAGUGGGCAAAGAGUACACCCUCAAGUGCAGGUUCUGUGAGGCAGUGUUCCAUGGAUCUCAGUCAGUACAGGAGGACUGGAUCAGACACCUGCAGAAACACAUCCUGGACCUCCGCUUCAACAAGGCCUGUCCUCCCCCUGACCCAGAACGGCCCCUGGUCCCGGGCAUCGAACCCUCAGCCACCACCACCACCCCGGUCCUUCUGGCACCACUGGUGGUUUAAAUGGUUCACUACUAUGGCUACAGUCACUGCAUUUCCCUUAUUACCACUUAGUUGGAUCGUCUUAUCUGUUGUUCAUCUGUUUGUUUUCCUCAAAGGACUGUUGAACUCAGUCUACACUGUGGUAAAAACACCUAAUAAGGUGUGUGUGUGUGUGUGUGUGUGUGUGUGUGUGUGUGUGUGUGUGUGUGUGUGUGUGUGUGUGUGUGUGUGUGUGUGUGUGUGUGUGUGUGUGUGUGUGUGUGUGUGUGUGUGUGUGUGUGUGUGUGUGUGUGUGUGUGUGUGUGUGUGGGAGUGAUGCGUUCAUUUAUUUAUUCAGCGUUAAAGGAAUGACUUGGUUUGAAUGAUAACUGCACAAAGUGGAUAUACUGUAGCACUAGUCUUGUCCACCAGCUGUGUCUCUCUCUAGCUGUUAGCCUGGGGAUAAGGUUAGUGUAGCACAGACAGUUAGCCUGGGGAUAAGGUUAGUGUAGCACAGACAUAUCUGUACCAGCCUCAUAACAACUCUAGAGGGCCUACUUGGGCCAGUUGAAGAAGUCUACUUUCAGUAACUACUCUUGCUGGGUUAACUUAGACAUGGAGUCAAACAAACAUUCAUUCACCAUGACACAUUCAUACCACUUAGUAGUCUAGCAAUGGUUACAUUCCAUGUCUUUAUUGGGAUGUUUAUUGCACAUUGCUUUCAUAGAAACCUAAAUUCAUAGUAGUCUGACAUUGGAUGGAAUGGGUUUCCAUAGACUGUAGUCAGUGAUGUCACUGAAGAAGUAAGGCAAAGCCUGUUCGAGCAUUAAAUACAUCCCCCCUUGUUUCAACUGUUCCAAAGCAGUGUGGCAUUAUAGGUUGCAUUGCAGAAUAGCAGGGAAGGAAGCAUGUUCACUUUUGAAUUAUGGUCUGAAAUGUCCCUAUUGUACAGGAAUUUGUAUUAGAUUUUUUUAAUGAAUGAUGUUUUUAAAUGUAGAACUGUUUUCUGAAGUAAAGAAAUAUAAGACAAGGUU